CCUACGGGGGGCUGCAGUGGGGAAUAUUGCACAAUGGGCGCAAGCCUGAUGCAGCGACGCCGCGUGAGCGAUGAAGGCCUUCGGGUCGUAAAGCUCUGUCCUAAGGGAAGAAUAAUGACGGUACCUUAGGAGGAAGCCCCGGCUAACUACGUGCCAGCAGCCGCGGUAAUACGUAGGGGGCGAGCGUUAUCCGGAAUCACUGGGCGUAAAGGGGGCGUAGGCGGCCGUGCAAGUCAGGAGUUAAAUCCCUCGGCUCAACCGAGGUCAGCUCGUGAAACUGUGGGGCUUGAGUGCAGGAGAGGAGAGGCUAAUUCCUAGUGUGGCGGUGAAAAGCGUAGUUAGCAGGAGUAACACCAGUGGCGAAGGCGGCUCUCUGGACUGCAACUGAGGCUGAGGCACGAAAGCGUGGGUAGCGACCAGGAUUAGAUACCGUGGUAGGC
rnacentral:rRNA from 1 species